GUCGCGUAGCAGAGCGGCUCCGAUGCGAAGAUGGGACUGCUGGUGUUCAUGCGCAACCUGCUGCUCGCCCUCUGCCUCUUCCUGGUGCUGGGCUUUCUGUACUACUCCGCCUGGAAGCUGCACCUCCUCCGCUGGGAGGACUCCAAUUCAGUGGUUCUUUCCUUUGACUCCGUUGGACAUACAAUAGGCUCAGGAAGGAGAGAGAGAAAAGCUGUGGCCAUUGUGCUUCCGCUGUCCAUCCCAUCUCACCUUGCUGCAGACCCAGGAAAAGACAGAGCCCAGAAAGAGCCCAAAGAGACAAUGGCAGCUGCAGACCCAGCCAUUCCCAAGUAUGACAAACUGGGCUUUCUCCUGAACCUGGACUCAAAAUUGCCUCCAGAAUUGGCAUCAAAGUAUGCGAAUUUCUCUGAGGGAGCGUGCAAGCCUGGUUAUGCAUCAGCACUCAUGACUGUCAUCUUCCCAAAGUUCUCAAAGCCGGCACCAAUGUUCUUAGAUGAUUCCUUCAGAAGAUGGGCUCGUAUCAGGGACUUUGUACCCCCCUUUGGAAUUAAAGGACAAGAUAAUUUGAUCAAAGCCAUCCUGUCAGCAACCAAAGAUUACCGUCUAACUCCAGCUCUUGACAGUCUCAGCUGCCGACGAUGUAUUAUUGUGGGAAAUGGUGGAGUACUUGCCAAUAAGUCAUUGGGGUUAAAAAUUGAUGACUAUGAUGUCGUUGUCAGGCUGAACUCGGCUCCAGUGAAGGGGUUUGAAAAAGAUGUGGGUGGCAAAACAACUCUCCGGAUCACAUAUCCUGAAGGUGCAAUCCAGAAAAUGGAGCAGUAUGAGAAGGAUUCCCUGUUUGUUCUGGCGGGAUUCAAAUGGCAGGAUUUCAAGUGGCUGAAGUACAUUGUUUACAAGGAGAAAGUGAGCGCCUCUGAUGGCUUUUGGAAGUCAGUGGCGACCCGUGUUCCCAGAGAACCUCAUGAGAUACGUAUCCUGAAUCCCUACUUCAUCCAGGAGGCAGCUUUCAGCUUCAUUGGACUGCCUUUCAACAACGGCCUGAUGGGCAGAGGGAACAUCCCCACCUUGGGAAGCGUAGCAAUAACCAUGGCGCUCCACAACUGUGAUGAGGUGGCGGUCGCUGGGUUUGGCUAUGACAUGAGUUCACCCAAUGCACCGCUGCACUACUAUGAGAACAUCAAGAUGUCUGCCAUCAAAGAGGUCACUGUCUGUUAAUGUAGGAGAAGUUUCAGAUCCUCCUGGAGCAUAAAGAAAAGUAACGUGGACAUGGAGAAGCCACCUGUUUGACAGCGUUUCGGCGGAACGAAGGCCUCAUGUGCCGUUCGUGUGCGUAAGGGCUGUGUCUGUGCAAUAGAAGUCUAGAAGAGAUUGGUGGGAUAGCAGUCACUGCUGCAGCACAGGUACUGCACUGUUAGGUGGGACAAAAUAUGGUGAUGCCUUUGGGGCAUCACUGAGCCCUAACGGCAGGGAAGAGAAGAUUGUGGCAUGGAUAAAAGCAGAACUAAGUUGUGAUGAAGAGAAAGACAAUGAAAGAUCUACAGGAGUGUGUUGGAGCACGGCUGCUGACCCCAGCAUUGAACGCAGCCCUCUGUGAUGGGUAAUGUCACACAGGUACACCAAAGCCAGCAUGUUUGCCAGAGGGAGCCCAGGUAUCCCCAGAUUUCAUAGUGCUGCUUCUGUCACCAACCACAAGGGGACAAGAAGAGCUGAUAUCCUUCCAGAGCUGAUUUUAGCAAGCAUGCAGAGAGCCAUUGGAAAUAACCCUUGAUCAACACCAUCACUGUGAAAUUAAAUGGAAAGGCAAGAGUGGAUGCAUCAAGCAGCUCAACAAUUCCUUGUAGAGGGGAUUUGAAAUUUUCCUUUCCUUUUCCUUUUCCUCUUUUCUCUUUUCUCUCUCCUCUCUCCUCUUUCCUUUUCUCCAAAGUGCAAAAAUUGUGAUUCAUGUUUGUAACAAAGAGAGAAUUGAUAGGAAAAGGUUUGAGAUGAAACUUGGUAAGUUGCUUUGGAGUGGGGUUGGAGGAGCAAGAGAAAGCAUGAGGAAGAGAGAAGACUUCAGCUUAUUGGACAGAAAGGACAGCAAUAAAAUGGAAACUAGCCAAAAUCAGGCUGAAUUAGGUCAUGCAAAGGAAAACGAUAUGGAAACAAGGAAAGAAUUAUGAAGGCUGUGGCAUCCAGGGAGGUGAAAGCAGCAGAAGGCACAGGGAUUACAGAGCCUAAGCAGGAGCUGUGCAAAUGAAUGUGUUACCUCUCUAAAAGUGAUGUGGUGAAUGUUAGGGAAAGGGUGACUUGUGGUGAGAAGCUCAUAGGGACAGAACGUGACUGGGUCAGUAGUGAAAGGCAGAAAGCUGGUGGAGGCAAUGCUGUGGGUGAGGAAGCCUGGGGCAUCUCCAUUCCAGCACUGCAUUGCUGAGCCAAUUAAGCCACAAGUCCAGAGGAAAAGGUCUUUCUAUCAGGUUACACGUGGUUCCACAGGAUUAGAUUAUAGUGGACAUAAUACCUGUAUUUCCUUUCUUUUUUGGGGGGAUGGAAGUGAGGUGAGGGAAAUUUCCCUGUCAGAUUCAGACCUCUCAAUCUGACCUCAGAGGUGCUAUUCAGAACUUCAGAGCAGAGUUUGACUGAAAGAAUAAUUAAAUCCCGAAAGCAAACACAACAUGGAUUUACCAAAGGAGGGUUACAAAAACUAAUUUAAUAUCUUUAUUUGAUUAAAAAAAAAUCAUUCAAGGGACAGAGGAAGUGUAGUAGAUCAGUCAUCUGAAGUUCAGUUGAGCGUGUGAAACUGUGCCACGUGAGAUAUUAUUAGUUAAGCUUGAGAAGCUACGGGUUGGUGCAACACCUGUAUGUGAAUAGUCCCUGUGAAGGAGAAAACAAAGAGCAGCACUCAAUGGGAGGCUGGGAGUUCCCCCAGAGGAGGUCAUGUGUAGUGUUUGCAUUAAUGGUUUUUGGCUCCGAAGGCAGUGGUGUGCGAGCGGAAUUUAUGAUGAUACAAAACCAGGUGUGGUGAACAGAAAGGGAAUCAAAAGAUCAUCCAGGAAGACCACGGUUACCUGAAGAACAGGAACAAAUGGGAUGAAACCUGGGAGUAUGAAUGGAGGCUCAUUCAGUGUGGGACAAGAACAGAGAUUCUGGUUCUAUUUGAGAAAGCAUUAUUUGGCAAUGACACAACAGAGGAGGGAAGUACUUAGAUAAGUACUAAUAAGUGCCAGGACAAUUCAGGAUUGAGGCUAUUGAUGUAGAAAAAAGGCAGAUGCAGCUCUGGGAUGACUCAAGGAAGGGAAUUCUAGAAAGAGUGAACUGCUUCUGUGUGCGUUUCAGGAAUAAAUGCUGCUGAGCUGCAGAAAUACAGAGGAUGUAACGAGUGAGAAACCUCUGCCUUUAGAAUCUACUCUGUUCCUUGAGUGCAUUCCUUGUCAACUUUACUCUCUCUUAUUUAAUCUUCCUGUAUUUUGUGGUAUUGCAACUUAUUUGAUAAGACGUACUCUGAAGCCCAGCCAUUGCCACAGUUGUAAUUGAUUGCAGAUGGUGACUUACCUUCCUGCUGAGGUGGUUUCUGAAAUGUGUUCUUAAUCUGAAAAUACUCUCCUUGGCUUCAUUGGAAAAGACAGAGGAUGUUUUGGGCUUCCUCGUGGGAUCAUCACGAAAAAAAGCAGUGGUUCUGGUGCUGCUGUAUUUCCAUGUAGUCCUGAAAGGCAGCUUUAACUGAUGACACAUUUAGAUCUAAUGACUGUGAACAAACGAUCAUACAUCAGUCCGAGUGCAGCCCCUGUGGAACAGACAGCCAUAACGGGGCCAUGUGCCCACAGAGCAGCUCUCCACCUGCUGCUGUCGCAACAGAAAAGAGCAAGCAUCCACUAAUCAGUGAAAGACCCAAAGCAAAGGAAAUCCCAGCUGGUCCCCAAACAACAAGGGCUCUGGAGGUGCAGAUUCACAGGGAAGUAGCUGGAGUUUGCUACUUGUGAUGCUGAGGUAUGGCUUCAGGAGUUAGGGCAAGAGCUCUGGGAAUACAGGAAUAGGAAAUGAGUGCACAUAGAAAGAGAGGGACAAAGCCAUCAGAAGGGGCAGUGAGCAUCUUGCCAGGGCAGCCCAAGCACAACUAGCAUUCAAGGGCAGAAAAAAAAGGCUUAGUUGCAGCAAUGCUAUCAGGAAUAAGCUGCUGUCAUCGUGACCGCUUCAUGUAAUCCUCCUCCAGGUGUGGAUUCUGCUGUGCUUAAAAUGUCAAAACAAGCACUGCCAGUACUGUCCUGUCUGUGGAGUCACAGGUGAUCAAAGCAUUGCCUCUCCCUUACCACCCUGCUGCAGCUCAGGACAUUGCAUCAGCUGAAAGAAGACCAGGACAGCUUGAGCACCUUAUCUUACCCAACAAGUGGUGGCAAAUACUCGGUGUGAUACAGAGAACUUCCCCUACAACAGCCCUAGUGUGGUCCUGGCCCCAAAGUAGACCUGUGCCUGUUGAGGGCUGGCUUUCAUGGGACGUUGCUGGCAGCACCAUGCUUGGGGUUCUUUGGACUUUGCUGCGCGCAGCAUGGAUGUGGAGCAUGGUCUCUCUGCAUCUGCAGCACUCAGUUCCCAGGCAGGUUUUGCAGUGCAAUUUGUUGCCUUUCCCCAUUCAGUGGUGAUGGGAACAAGGUGCCUGCCUCUCACUGGCAGGUUUGAAAAAUUUGCUCCAGAUCUUUCUCCCCCCGCAGCCACUCACACUGGAAUGCAGUCUCCUUCGCCUGAUUAGCUCUGUCUGUCAGUGGGGUGAGUCCCUCUCCUGCAAUCAGUAACCUGAGCUGGUGUUGAAGACAUGCUGCAUCCCUCCUUCCUGUGGUGCUGUUGGGUGCACAGCACUGCACUGUAAGCUCUGCGGGUGCUCUUUGCGGGGGACAGAAGCCCGUUCUCUGCCUCUGUGGUCAUAUGUUCAACCACAAGGCAUUGCCACAGAUAUCAGCGAUAGCCAUGGAUCAGGUGGGAGGUUGAAUUUCCCUUACAUGUGGCUUUCUGCUUGGAAACAGGCUUGUGGCCAGGGUACAGAGCAGCCCUAAUGUUGCUGUGUACAAACCUCAAGCUGUGAUCAGCUUGAGGUUUGUACGUCUGGCCAGCAGCCUGGUGUGCAGUGCAGGAGCCAGACCUGGCUGUGGUAUAAAGCAGUGCAGUUGUAUCACCCAAAGCUUUGUCACCCACCUCCCGUACUUACAUUCCUGCUCUGCUUGUGCCUUUCACAGCAGUUUGCCUCCUCGCUUUGUGGCCUGAGCUGAUGUUUGAAGUUUGCUCAGAAGUGGCUGCUGCUCCACUUUCCAUGUAUGUCACUGUGUAGCACAGGAUGUACGGAGGUCAUACUGGGUAAAACCAUUGGCUUCUCCCCCUGUCUGAUGAGAAAGAAAGACAUGAGAGAGGGAUGAGCCUGUGCCGACAGGAGCAGUUGGGCUCCUUGAUGCUCCAGGUGGGCUCUGAACAAGCCCAGCCGGAUGCAAGGGAAAGAGCACUCACUAAGCUGAGGAUCUCACAGCACAACCCCUGUGCCAGCAGACAGCCACUUGCUGUGCAUUGGCAGCAGCACACGCACACUUGGCUGCCUCUGCCAGUGCCGUGUGCUCGUAGCAAGGGGCUGUGCUGUCAGUGCAGGUGCUGCUGCAUGGCAGGCACUGUGCACGAGCCCCCAGCUGACCAAGUGCCCUCUCUCUGCUGGUUGAAGCCGUUUCUAGGGAGUUCUCCUGGAGGGAUUUUAUCCCAGGUCUUACUUAGAGCCAGUAGUACCUGCUGCCCAGAGCACCGUGUUGGAGACGUGAAUCCUUUCCCUGGCAUUCUUGUCUCACAGGAAGAUUUUGGGGAAAGUUGCUUUUCCCUGCUGUCUGUCUCCCCAGGGGACAAAUUACUCACUGCUUUCAUUAAGUGCUGUAACAGUACAAGCGCAGUGGGGUGGUGGCAAAUGCUGUGAUCACUGCUAAAGCCUGCUGCAGGGAAUGCAUCUGGGUGGGCUGCCAACAGCCAUAGCGAUCACUGCUCCGAAACGCCUGGCUGGGAGAUGUGACCAUUUCACCCUUCUCAUUGUAUUAGCGUAACCUUUAGCAUGCAAUUUCCUGUUGUUAGGGCUGGCGGAGGCAGGACAGGGGCUGCUGCCCUGCUGUAGAAAUCCAAUGCUGAGGAGCACACAACACCAGGAGAGAACUCCGUGAGAUCAGGCAUGUGACUAACAAAUCUUUAACACUUCAGGAUAAGCAUCCUCCACACACAGAUGGGUCUUAAUGCUGUGCUGUUGGACACGUGUUGAUAUGUCUGCCCGAGGUGAAGGUACCUGAGGUGCCCAGAUCUCACAAUGUCAAAAAGGUUCACCCAACCCCUGCCUCAGAUACGCAAGUCUGACUGCUGGCUUUAUCUGCUUUUGGUCAGGGAAGGUCCUUGGACUGCAAGGAUUCUUCUGUUGGCACCAGGGCCUGUCUCCUUGCCCUGCCCCAGCUGAAGCCUCCCACGAUGUGAGGUGCGGAAGCACACAUGGCUAGGAUAGCUGGUGACCUCUGUCUUUCCCA